rnacentral:rRNA from 1 species
UACGGGGGGAGCAAGCGUUGUUCGGAUUUACUGGGCGUAAAGCGCGUGUAGGCGGCAAGGCAAGUCGGAUGUGAAAGCCCGCGGCUCAACCGUGGAAGUGCACUCGAAACUGCCUAGCUAGAGUCUCGGAGAGGAAGGUGGAAUGCUUGGUGUAGAGGUGAAAUUCGUAGAUAUCAAGCAGAACACCUGUGGCGAAGGCGGCCUUCUGGACGAUGACUGACGCUGAGACGCGAAAGCGUGGGGAGCAAACAGG